GAUGAACGCUGGCGGCGUGCUUAACACAUGCAAGUCGAACGGAAAGGCCCUGCUUUUGUGGGGUGCUCGAGUGGCGAACGGGUGAGUAACACGUGAGUAACCUGCCCUUGACUUUGGGAUAACUUCAGGAAACUGGGGCUAAUACCGGAUAGGAGCUCCUGCUGCAUGGUGGGGGUUGGAAAGUUUCGGCGGUUGGGGAUGGACUCGCGGCUUAUCAGCUUGUUGGUGGGGUAGUGGCUUACCAAGGCUUUGACGGGUAGCCGGCCUGAGAGGGUGACCGGCCACAUUGGGACUGAGAUACGGCCCAGACUCCUACGGGAGGCAGCAGUGGGGAAUAUUGCACAAUGGGCGGAAGCCUGAUGCAGCAACGCCGCGUGCGGGAUGACGGCCUUCGGGUUGUAAACCGCUUUCGCCUGUGACGAAGCGUGAGUGACGGUAAUGGGUAAAGAAGCACCGGCUAACUACGUGCCAGCAGCCGCGGUGAUACGUAGGGUGCGAGCGUUGUCCGGAUUUAUUGGGCGUAAAGGGCUCGUAGGUGGUUGAUCGCGUCGGAAGUGUAAUCUUGGGGCUUAACCCUGAGCGUGCUUUCGAUACGGGUUGACUUGAGGAAGGUAGGGGAGAAUGGAAUUCCUGGUGGAGCGGUGGAAUGCGCAGAUAUCAGGAGGAACACCAGUGGCGAAGGCGGUUCUCUGGGCCUUUCCUGACGCUGAGGAGCGAAAGCGUGGGGAGCGAACAGGCUUAGAUACCCUGGUAGUCCACGCUGUAAACGGUGGGUACUAGGUGUGGGGUCCAUUCCACGGGUUCCGUGCCGUAGCUAACGCUUUAAGUACCCCGCCUGGGGAGUACGGCCGCAAGGCUAAAACUCAAAGGAAUUGACGGGGCCCCGCACAAGCGGCGGAGCAUGCGGAUUAAUUCGAUGCAACGCGUAGAACCUUACCUGGGUUUGACAUGGAUCGGGAGUGCUCAGAGAUGGGUGUGCCUCUUUUGGGGUCGGUUCACAGGUGGUGCAUGGCUGUCGUCAGCUCGUGUCGUGAGAUGUUGGGUUAAGUCCCGCAACGAGCGCAACCCUUGUUCACUGUUGCCAGCACGUUAUGGUGGGGACUCAGUGGAGACCGCCGGGGUCAACUCGGAGGAAGGUGGGGAUGACGUCAAGUCAUCAUGCCCCUUAUGUCCAGGGCUUCACGCAUGCUACAAUGGCUGGUACAGAGAGUGGCGAGCCUGUGAGGGUGAGCGAAUCUCGGAAAGCCGGUCUCAGUUCGGAUUGGGGUCUGCAACUCGACCUCAUGAAGUCGGAGCCGCUAGUAAUCGCAGAUCAGCAACGCUGCGGAAAUACGUUCCCGGGGCU
rnacentral:rRNA from 1 species